UACAAUCCCAAGAAAGUUGGCCAUGGUGAGAGGCGAGAGGAGAACUGACCAGGCUUACAAUAGGAUUUAUGGAGCCUCAGGAAAAAGAAUUUACAAUGUGGGGUGGGGGUAAGUGUGUGUGUGUGUGUGUGUGUGUGUGUAUGUCUGUUGUAACAUCUCCUUGGGUAUGUUGGAAGGUAUACUCAACCAAUGGGGAACUUUGAGCUAUGGACUAUAAAUAAUAAUACAUAUUAAAGACCUAUUAUGUAUCUGUCACCCUAUUUAACUUAAUGCUACUCCUUAAAACCUGUGAGGUUGGUACCAUCCCCCAAUUUACAAAAGAGGAAAACGAGUCAGAGGGAUCUUAAGUAACUUGGCCAAGGUCAUGUAGCUAAUAGGUCAAAGGUCAAACUAUCUGACUGCCAAACCCAGUCUCCAGCCCCAAGAGGACUGCCUCUCCUGUGCUGAGAAACAAGCUUCCAGUGCUGGUUCCCAGCUUUCGCCACUUGUUGGAACCUCCUGGGGAGCUUAAAAAAAUAUUGAUGCCUGGGUCCUACUGCUAGAGGUUUUUCUUUAAUGGGGCAUCAAAAGCUCCCCAGGUGAUUCUAACACGCAGCCAAGGCUGAGCGCCCCUGGCUUAGUGGGUACCAAGGCCCAGGUCCACCAAGAUCAUUGGCUGUAAACGUCACCUGGCCUGGCCAUCCUCAGGAUUAAGAUCAAGGCCAGAGAAGCCCAGGGCAGGAGCCCAAACUCGAAGUCCAAGAUCUGUAACUGGGGCUGGCCCAGAGCCAAACUGGGAAACAGGCACCGAUAACAAUAACACGAUGACGACAACAACAACAAUGGUUAGAACCAUACUUUGACAACAAUUUAUUGUGCUGUACCAGGCACUCCACAUGCCUCACCUCACAGCAACGCCCCUCACAGCAAUGCUAUGAGCUAGUGAAUGUCUCCAGUUUACAGACGAGAACAGGGAGGCACUGACAGGUUAACGGUCAGUCCAGGGUCACUCAGCGAGGCUGCAGUGGCCUAUGUUCUUGACCCCUGGCUUCUCUACGCCAUCUCUCCAAUCUGGGGUCACCUUCAACUUUGCACACCCCCAAACCACCUCAGAACCCCCGGUGCCUGAUUUGCUGGGUGCCUGCUCUGCACUGGGGCGGGCAAUAAGUAAAGGUGGGCUGGGGGGAAGCCUGUCUCCCGCCCCACACUGGACCUCACAGUCUGGUAGGGGAGGUCAGGCGGGGUACCCAGGCUCUUAGAGCAGGCGGAGUGAGCCAGGACCUUGGGCGGGUGAGGGGCACGUGCACCCAGAGGACUUGGGAGGGGGUUGGGGCCACCUCUCAGCCCCCAGCUGAUGGAGGUCUCCUAGCCCCAGGGCAGCAAGACUCAAAGGCCCCCCACCAGCCCCUGGGGCCCCCGGCUGGGGCUGGCUCCCUGGGCCCUGUUUCUGCCCCCACUUGGCUCCUGGACAGAGACAGAAUAGGAGGUAAGACACUUGGGUUCAAGGCCAGACACCUCAACUCCAUGGUCCUCGCUUCCUCACCCAUAACACGCCCCCCUGGCAGGUUUGCUGGGAAGACUGAACCAGCCCCUCCAGGCCAGCACCCAGAGGUGGCCUGGCACUGUGUGGACGCCCCCUCACUGGCAGCCAUUCCCUGCCCUAACCCUGCACUUCAUGCCCGGAGCCGCCAUGGCUGAUGCGCUGCUUCCUGAGCUCUGGCUUUCCACAGCGAAUGGAAACUCUGAGAGGGACCGUGUCUCUUUGUAUCUCCCCAGCAACCAGCGAGGGCCUGGCACCGGGCUCCUGGGGACCGCCGGGCGGGCUGAAUUGUUCAGGGCUGGCGGCGGGGUUGAGUGACUCACCCCACAGGAGAGGUGCCCACGUUAACCCAGCGACUCCAUUCCAGGCAGCGCUUGUUCCCCAGCGCCGGAGGCCACGGAGGUUUGGGGCCAAGGAGUGACAAGACCUGGCUUCGGUUUACAAAGAUCAUUCUGGCUGCUGCCUAGAGAAUGGAAGGCUGGCAGGGAGAGCCUACCGGGAGGCCACUGCAGCAGGCCAGGGAGAGAGAGGUGAGAACGGGGGACUAGCUUUGGAGACAGCGAGAAGCAAUGGAUUUGAAAGCUGCUGAUGUGUUUUGAAAAUGGAACUGACGGGAUUUGACACCAGAAUGGAGGUGGGUGUGAGGAAUGAGGAGGCAAGGGGGAUUCCGAGAUUUGCCAACUGAGCAUCUAAGUCGAUGGAGCUGGUGAGGGGAAGUUACGAAUUCUGUUUGGGACAUGUGAAGUUUGAGGUGACCAUUAGGCACCCUGGUGGAGAUGUUGCUGUGCACUUGCAGACGUGAGGCCGUGACUCUGGACUCGGGGUGGGGGUCGGGAGCUGGAGACACGCAUUUCCUUGGCUUGGAGAUGGAACUGACAGCUGUGGGAGAGAUGCGACCCCUGGAGAAACUUAAAAUGGAGGGCAAGGGGAGUGAGCACCGAGCCCUGGGCCUCACCAUGGAGAGGUCUGGAAGAGGAGGCUGAACCAGCCGGGAGACUCCGAAAGAGGGGCCAGCGAGGUAAGAGUGAAACAGGUGAGUGGGCUGGCCUAACUCAGGUGAACGGUCAGACCCAGGAAGAGGACUCUACUGUGCCAAAAGCUGCCAUCAGAGGAAGAUAGGGGCUGACUCUGGAAUGCUUAGAUUGGCAGGUAGGAGGUCCUGGGCGACCUCGACAAGAGAGCUUCAGCAGGGUGGUGGGAACCUGGGCCUGGUAAGAGUGAGUAUAGGAGUGAACGGGAUGGAAGGAGAAGGAGGCGCCCUGGCCAGCUGAUCUGUUUGAGGGAUUUCGCUCUACAGGGAACAGAGAAAUGGAGCCAGAGAGCUAACUGGUGGGAUCUGCAAGGAGACUCCGGAUGGCUCCUGCAGAGCAGAGAGACAUGGCCCGCAGUGCGAGUCAGGAGGCCGGCCUGUCUUCCCUGAGAUUGGAAGGAAAGAGGGAAAAAAGGGUAAAUACGUAGAUAACUCUAAAGGAAACGGAGGG